UACAGAGGGGGCAAGCGUUGUUCGGAAUUACUGGGCGUAAAGGGUGCGUAGGCGGGUCUUUAAGUCAGGGGUGAAAUCCUGGAGCUCAACUCCAGAACUGCCUUUGAUACUGAGGAUCUUGAGUUCGGGAGAGGUGAGUGGAACUGCGAGUGUAGAGGUGAAAUUCGUAGAUAUUCGCAAGAACACCAGUGGCGAAGGCGGCUCACUGGCCCGAUACUGACGCUGAGGCACGAAAGCGUGGGGAGCAAACAGG
rnacentral:rRNA from 1 species